UAAUAUUCGACCCUCCUUAAUCCUCAUCAGUCCUUUGACUCCUUUCCUCUAUUGUUUUCCCUCGCUCUCUCAAAUGAAACCUCGCACUGUACUCCCCCCUAGUCCAUCCCUACGUCGUCCAUCCUUCCGCCGCAGUUCAAUUGGUUGAAUCAAUCAACCUCGCUGCUCCGCUCCUCAGCGUCGACCUUGUUGUCAACUCCUUCAGGAUCUUCACACUGAAACUGAUCUCAAAUCUCUCGAUGAUCAUCUCUCUGGCAAAUCCUACAUCUCCGGUUUCACUUUGCAUCUGUUCGUUUAAAUGAGUCUGCCCUUGAUGCAAAGCUUAAGACUGCCUCACAUGGGAAGCGCUCCAGGGUGGAUGACCAUGAUGUGGCUGCGGAUUCUAUGGAGGAUAUGGAUGCUGAUAAGAUGAGGUCAAACAAAAGAAGAAAAAGUAUUAUCAACCCAGUACAGCAAGUAGCCUCAGCAGGCGACAAUGAUUCAGUUUUCACAGGUGGUGGUGAUGAAAGCAGUCAACAAGUUGACACAGACGACUAUAGAAAGUUUACAAUUCAGAGGCUAAAGCAAGAGUUCACAGAAAACAAUUUCGGUGAUGAGGUAUUUAAGCUUAUGGCUGGUGCCAAGAAAGAUUUUGUUGCUUUAUAUGAAAAAUGCAUCCUAAACAAGUCCUGAUGACCCAAGUAAUACACGCCAAUAGGUUUGGACAGGAGAUUCGACUGUAGUUAUGUUGCUAUUUUUUUGACUUAGCUGAGUCGACGGGAACUUAGUAAUUCUCUAACUACAAGGGCUGUAUGUUUAUGUUGUUAAAACUUCUGAUAUCUGCAGUUUCAUUUUGGUUUCUGGAGAGACAGAAAAAUGUUUCUUGGAUGAGAGUUUGUGAAGUUUCCUUGUUUGCUUUGAUGUAACUAGUGUAGGUAGAAUGGCAAUUGUAACUACUAUAACAGAUAACCACUGCCGUGUCGCGAUGGUUGUAGAGAUUUUGUUAUCUUGACUAAUGAUUGUAACCGUUCCUUGCUUUUGCAACAAUGAUGAGUUGACCAAGGAUGAUAUCAAGGUGUACUUUGCAGUAUUGGAGAGGCCAGGUGACUCUCUCUUGAAUGCAAGCAAGUGGUACGAGAGGAUUUCCCAACAGCUUGCUGCGAGGGGUCGAUUCCACUCAAAGAAAUCCUAGGGCAUUAACCUUCCUGGGAAGCCGGUCCCUCCCCAUUGUUGCCGCCCUCGAGUAGCCGUUUCUCCUCCUCCUCGAACGCCGGCGACAUUCUCAUCAAAUUUCCAGUCAUACUAUCGAUAUGGAGAUACCCUUAAACCAGAUGUCUGGUUUGAGCCCUCUUAGGUGUGGGAGGUCAAAGCAGCUAACUUGACUAUUAGUCCUGUUCACCGAGCUGCAGUUGGUGAAGUAGAUUCUGGUGGUAGAAAUGUACCGUUCUCAAGCAAACAAUCCGCACCGUAAAAGUAAAAAUGAUUUAGAAAAAGAGGACUGAUACCCUAUUCCAUUCCAUUUAUAAUGAAGCAAGUCUUCUGUUUGAAACUAAUCCUGGUUCAUGAGCAUCUUGUUGGGGACUCAUAAAGAUCAAGGUGUAAUCGUGGUUUAAUUGCACUAAUUUGCUCAAACGUUGAGUGGCGACACACGUAAAACAGAGCCAAUUUACAGCAAAUUGGACAACGAUUUGCUCAAAUUUUGAAGAUGCCUGGUGUUCUGUUUCGUUGAUUGUUUGCUUGCAUUGGAUUAGAGGAAAGUUAAGCAAAUAUUAGAGAGACUAAAGUUUGUUGAUCUACAUCCUACAUAACCAUGCAAAUGGUUUCUUGAGAAAAUUGGUCAUGAAGGUCUGAAUAAUUUAUUGAUGGCCUAUGAAGAUAAAUCAGCAUAUGCUUUAUGUGUAUUCUCUCUUGCCCUCAACCCAAGUGCAGAUCCUAUCACUUUUGUGGGUAAAACUAUGAGGUUGUUGUGGUGUCCUGAGGAGCAGGUUUUGAAUCAAUCUGAUGGUGAUGAUGUUUUUAGGGUGUGACAAUGAUGAUGAAGCUAUUGCAAGGAUGGAGGAAUCACCAUCAGGCAAAAGGGUGACAUGCAUAUUUCUUCCGUUUAGAUUUAUAACUCUUACCUGUUCUUCACGAAACUUUUUGUAUAAUACUAAUUAAGGUAUCGUAAAGGCAUAUGAGAUUUUUUUUGCAAUUAUUAGCUAGUUGUUUAUA